rnacentral:tRNA from 1 species
GUUAAAACAGCAAAAUCUGGUAUUGCAAAAGACCUAAACUCUUUUUAUAGAAGUUCAAAUCUUCUUUUUAACU